UACGAAGGGGGCUAGCGUUGCUCGGAAUUACUGGGCGUAAAGCGCACGUAGGCGGAUUGUUAAGUCGGGGGUGAAAUCCUGGAGCUCAACUCCAGAACUGCCUUCGAUACUGGCGAUCUCGAGUCCGGGAGAGGUGAGUGGAACUGCGAGUGUAGAGGUGAAAUGCUUAGAGAUCGUCCAGAACACCGAUAGCGAAGGCAGCUUACUAAGGAGUAACUGACGCUGAGGCACGAAAGUGUGGGGAUCAAACAGG
rnacentral:rRNA from 1 species